rnacentral:rRNA from 1 species
CCUACUGGCGGCAGCAGUGAGGAAUAUUGGUCAAUGGACGAGAGCCUGAACCAGCCAAGUAGCGUGAAGGAUGACUGCCCUACGGGUUGUAAACUUCUUUUAUAAAGGAAUAAAGCGAGGCACGAGUGCCUCUUUGCAUGUACUUUAUGAAUAAGCAUCGGCUAACUCCGUGCCAGCAUCCGCGGUAAUACGGAGGAUCCGAGCGUUAUCCGGAUUUAUUGGGUUUAAAGGGAGCGUAGAUGGGUUGUUCAGUCAGUUGUUAAAGUUUGCGGCUCAACCGUAGAAGUGCAAUUGAAACUGGCAGUCUUGAGUACAGUUGAGGUAAGCGGAAUGCGUGGUGUAGCGGUGAAAUGCUUAGAUAUCACGAAGAACCCCGAUUGCGAAGGCAGCUUACUAAACUGUGACUGACAUUGAUGCUCGAAAGUGUGGGUAUCAAACAGGAGUAGAUACCCGAGUAGUC